ensembl:lncRNA
GGUCCUUAGGCACAGAUCUAGGAUCAGAAUACAGUAAAUGUACUGUACAGUUCUGCCAUUGUAGAGGUCCUUAGGCACAGAUCUAGGAUCAGAAUACAGUAAAUGUACUGUACAGUUCUGCCAUUGUAGAGGUCCUUAGGCACAGAUCUAGGAUCAGAAUACAGUAAAUGUACUGUACAGUUCUGCCAUUGUAGAGGUCCUUAGGCACAGAUCUAGGAUCAGAAUACAGUAAAUGUACUGUACAGUUCUGCCAUUGUAGAGGUCCUUAGGCACAGAUCUAGGACCAGAACACAGUAAAUGUACUGUACAGUUCAGUAGAGGUUGUCCUUAGGCACAGAUCUAGGAUCAGCUUACCCAUCCCAAAACCUAACUUAAAGGGCUAUCCAGGAUUGGUACAUCCAGUUUUUUUUACUUUUAAAUGAUUGAUUUAUUGCUCUUGGUUCUUGUAGAAUAUAACUUAAAACUGCCUUGUGACCAGGUCAACAGUCGUUCCCCAUCAGUACCCCAACUAUAAGCUUGUUUUCACUCCAUUGUUUGUCCACGAUGUAAAGGUUUAAAACAUGGUUAAAAGUAUCCUGUUGAUCUCAUGGAUGGUCAGUCCUUGCAUCCAGAGAUCCAUCUGUGAUGUUGAGAGUGGUUCAAUCUAUCCAGGCCCAUCCCUCAGCUGUUAACCACAACAAGUGAUGGGAUGACCUGUUAGUUGCUUUUUAAAUCCCAGACUGCCCCUUUAAGGUUCCACCUAGAACUUGGUCUCAGAGUAACCAUGGAGAUUCAGUAGAGUCUUAAAACAAUCUAAAAAACGUCUACAUUCAAUGUUGUAUGUUUUAUAUUCUAUUCUGUUGCACUUUUACUUCGACAAGUUGUGUAUUUUAUACUUUUAAAGAACGUACCAUUUUCAUGUCCUUUAUCAACACUGUUCUGAAUGUAAGCACUUAGUGUUGUACUUGACUGUGUACUCUGUAGUGUGUGUGUGUGUGUGUGUGUGUGUGUGUGUGUAUGUGAGAGAGAGUGGGUAUGUUUCGGUAGCUUUAGCCACAAUAAAACGUUGCUACAAAUAACCUACUGUAGAUGUCUUCUUACCACACACACACGCAAACACACACACAGAAACACACACACACACACACACACACACACACACACACACACACACACACACACACACACACACACACACAUGCAAACACAAACACACACAGACAGACACACACACACACACACAUGCAAACACACACAUACACACAGACACACACAGAAACACACACACACACAUGCAAACACAA